UACGAGGGGGCAAGCGUUGUUCGGAAUUAUUGGGCGUAAAGGGCGCGUAGGCGGUUUGACAAGUCUUAUCGUGAAAUCUCUGGGACUCAACCCAGAGUCUGCAUGGGAAACUGUCGGGCUUGAGUAUGGGAGAGGUGAGUGGAAUUUCCGGUGUAGCGGUGAAAUGCGUAGAUAUCGGAAGGAACACCUGUGGCGAAAGCGGCUCACUGGACCAUAACUGACGCUGAGGCGGCGAAAGCUA
rnacentral:rRNA from 1 species